GCAAGUCGAACGAGAAAGCAUCUUCGGGUGUGAGUAGAGUGGCGUACGGGUGAGUAACGCGUAGGUAACCUACCUCUUAGCGGGGGAUAACACAGAGAAAUUUGUGCUAAUACCGCAUACGAAGCACGACAUGGAAAAAGUGCUUGAAAGGAUGCUUCGGCAUUCACUAAGAGAUGGGCCUGCGUUGCAUUAGCUUGUUGGUGGGGUAACGGCCUACCAAGGCAGCGAUGCAUAGCUGGUCUGAGAGGAUGAGC
rnacentral:rRNA from 1 species